UAGAAAUUAAAACAGGUAAUUUUAAGAAACUCAAUUGUGCUUUUUCUUUUACUGAUUAUUUGGAAAAUGGAAAAAACUGCCAAAGCAUUCCCUCUACCCUUCAAGGAAGAUUCAGAUAAAACAUCACAUUGUGCGUUUGUACACUGCUAAGCAAAGUCACACCUUCAGUAGUUGGGUAGUUUGCUUGGCUACCUUACAGUCCUUUACCUAGCAGGUGAUGUGCUGAAACAUCUGCUUUGAAAAAGUAAAGAACAACAACAAUGACGACAAAGAUGAGACUAUUUACAUAGCACAGACACUGCUUCUCUCUCUGGCCUGCAAAUUUGGGAGUAGGGUUGUGUCAGCAGACCCUGGCACAGUCUACUGUGAGAAUAGAGAAAACUAUCAGGAUGAAUUCUGAACAGCUUCACUUGGAGGUCCAAGAGCAAGGAGCAAUUCACAUGUUAAAAGCAGGAGUCAUGGAAUCUUCACCUCUCACUUCUGGCCCGUACUCCAGCUGGCUGAAUGGCACCACUCUCCCCAAAUCAGUACUUCUCAUCUCUCUCUGAAGGCUGUUCCCACCCCCAACAGGCUUUCCUGUUUGCAGUCAUCCUGCAUAUCUGUUCUUCUCAUCAUCACUAGAGUGCAUGAGUGACAUAAGACUUACCUCUGACCAUGUCACUGCUCAGCCUAAAACCACUGAAAGCUUCACACAUGAGAUAAAUGCACGCAAAGAUUCCUCAGAAGUAGCUCUUUGGAUCUUCAGAUGUGAAAUGGAUCAUUCCUCAAUCUGUAAUAGAAGCUUCUGUGAAGCUUUGCAAUCAAACCUGAGAAGUCAAGGUGAAAUUGAAGGAAGGAUGGAAAACCUCUAUGUGUUGCAUUUUGUAGCAUCCUAAACAGAAGGAUAUUGCAGGGAGCUGAUUCUGCUUUGAUCCUUGUGCUUGUUGUCAAAGCGCUUGGGAUUGAAGAGACUGUUGGCUACAAUUGACUGUGACAAUUAGGAGAUGAUCAGAGCCCUAGAGUGGAGCACUUAAAGGUUUUGCAUUUAAAACACUCUUGGAGCACUAACUCUUUUUAAGGAGGUAAUGAGUGAAUAAAUGAAAAGGCAGAGAUUAUUCACCAUUCUAAAAGGAGAUUGUCAGACCAUUUCUACUUGACUAAAAUUGUUUUUGAAG
rnacentral:lncRNA from 1 species